CUUUGCAUCCUUUUAAAGUGGUGACUUUAGUAAUAUUUAAAGACACCAGCAAUGUUUCAGUAAAAGCUGCUGAAGCAUUGCUGGUGUGUUUAAAUAUUACUAAAGUCACCAAUUAAAGAGGACCAAAGGA